GACGAACGCUGGCGGCGUGCUUAACACAUGCAAGUCGAACGGUAAGGCCCUUCGGGGUACACGAGUGGCGAACGGGUGAGUAACACGUGGGUGAUCUGCCCUGCACUUCGGGAUAAGCCUGGGAAACUGGGUCUAAUACCGGAUAGGACUCCGGACUGCAUGGUCUGGGGUGGAAAGCUUUUGCGGUGUGGGAUGGGCCCGCGGCCUAUCAGCUUGUUGGUGGGGUGAUGGCCUACCAAGGCGACGACGGGUAGCCGGCCUGAGAGGGUGACCGGCCACACUGGGACUGAGAUACGGCCCAGACGCCUACGGGAGGCAGCAGUGGGGAAUAUUGCACAAUGGGCGCAAGCCUGAUGCAGCGACGCCGCGUGAGGGAUGACGGCCUUCGGGCUGUAAACCUCUUUCAGCAUCGACGAAGCGAAGGUGACGGUAGGUGCAGAAGAAGGACCGGCCAACUACGUGCCAGCCGCCGCGGUAA
rnacentral:rRNA from 1 species